rnacentral:misc_RNA from 1 species
AACGCACAUUGCGCCCGCCAGCAUUCUGGCGGGCAUGCCUGUUCGAGCGUCAUUUCAACCCUCAGGCCCUGCCUGGUGUUGGAGGACUGCGCAUGCAGCCUCCCAAAGCAAGCGGCGGCGGCGCCCCAAAACCGAACGCAGUAGUUACUUCUCGUUCUGGGUCUGGGUCGUUGUCCUGCCGGAAAACCCCCAUCUUUUUAAUGGUUGACCUCGAAUCAGGUAGGAAUACCCGCUGAACUUAA